UACAGAGGGGGCAAGCGUUAUUCGGAAUUAUUGGGCGUAAAGGGCGCGUAGGCGGCCUGGCAAGUGGAAGGUGAAAUCCCUCGGCUUAACCGAGGAACUGCCCUCCAAACUGCUUGGCUUGAGUCCGGGAGAGGUGAGUGGAAUUCCCAGUGUAGCGGUGAAAUGCGUAGAUAUCAAGAGGAACACCUGCGGCGAAGGCGGGUUGCUGGGCCGACACUGACGCUGAAGCGCGAAAGCCAGGGGAGCGAACGGG
rnacentral:rRNA from 1 species